AGGAACCUCAACCCUGUUCCUUACCAUGCAGCCUAUGUGGGUCACAAAAUCCACAUGGACCAAAAUGAGAAGAUUGUCAUGUUUGGCGUGACUCAUGUGCUGGCAAUAGAUGGCUUCUCCAGCAAAAUUGUUGGACAAGCUACUAUGCCUGUAAAGAACAACCUCACCAUCUACAAUGACGUUUACAGGAGUGCAGUAAUGGAAUAUGGGAUGUGGGACCAGGUCAGAGUGGAUCAUGGAAGGAGUUCUACCUCACUCUUUUCAUGCAGGAGAAGUUGGCCAGCCACCGCCACAACACUGAAAGGCCACCAUAUCUCCAAACACCAUCGACAAAGAAUCACAGAAUCGAGAGAAUCUGGCCAGAAAUUAACAACCGAGUUAACUACCCGUUGAAAGCUGCAUUGGUCCAACUGGUGGAUCAGGAGGAGCUGGACAUGGAGGACCAGAUGACUCGGUUCUGUGUGUCAUCUUUGACAUGCCAGUUGGCCCAGAUCGGUGUUAACCGAACUGUGCAAGCAUGGAAUGCACACAGGAUUCCUGGUAUG